ACAGAGGUCCCAAGCGUUGUUCGGAUUUACUGGGCGUAAAGGGUGCGUAGGCGGUCGGGUCAGUCCGAUGUGAAAUCUCGGAGCUUAACUCCGAAACGGCAUUGGAUACUAUCCGGCUCGAGGGUUGGAGGGGGGACUGGAAUUCUCGGUGUAGCAGUGAAAUGCGUAGAUAUCGAGAGGAACACCAGUGGCGAAGGCGAGUCCCUGGACAACUCCUGACGCUGAGGCACGAAAGCCAGGGGAGCAAACGG
rnacentral:rRNA from 1 species